rnacentral:lncRNA from 1 species
GCUUUGAAGACCAAGACCAUGCAUACUUCCAUACUGCAGAGAACACGUGUUUGACCAACGUAUGAACCACCACGAGAGAUGCUGGCACAGACACGUUGUCUUGGUAUGCUGUAUUUCUGGAUCUAAGAUCAAUCUGAGAGAACAGAUUCCCUGCUCAUGGGUAUGGUAAAUUUAACAGCAGGGAGGAAUAAUGGCCUUCUGAAGAUUGCCAAUGAGCAAAGAAUCUAUUCCAGGGCCCCCGUACUGCCUGACAGCAUUUGAGGCCCGGAGUGAAGUGGGAGUGUAUGGACUCCUCGAGGCUGAGUGCAGAAAUGUGUGAUGGGUCCACGCUUUUCUGCAAAAAUUGAAAACCCUUUUUUUGCAAAAUAUGUGUUCAUUUCCGAGAAUGCAGAAACCUUCUGUCCCAUCGGGAAUAAGAGGAGCUUCCUGCAAGAUUUUCACAGUCUAAAAAAAAUGUUUCCAGGCCAGCUCUCCCAAACCUACAAUGGUGUCUCAGAGCUGUAAAUACCAUUUGCAGAUCUCACACUUGUGUUUUGUUUAUAGCGAAAGAAACGUAUCUGUAUAGGUAAGGCAGGUUUUCCAUGACAACGGUGUGUACUUCUAUAUUUCUAAUAGUGGUAGUUCUUAAAAGCACAGGAAUAAGAGAAUACAGACAAGAACGUUACCAAAAAAUAGCACCAGCAAGUCUGUAACUGUGGAGAAUUGGGUAAUGCAUAGAGUAGCUGAGCUUGUUUAAGUGGGUAAUUGUGUUAGUAUUGACUCAGUGUAACUAUAUCUCAUUCCUAAAUGAAUGCUUUGCAUGACUGGUU